rnacentral:misc_RNA from 1 species
CAGAGUUGAAAAACUCCCAAACCCUUUGUGAAUCUACCUAUCGUUGCUUCGGCAGGCGGCCCCUGGGAGGGGCUGUAGCCUUUCGAGGUGCCUGCCGGAGGUAUGAAACGCUAUAUCUACUGUAUCCUCUGAGCAUAAAUAAAAUAAGUCA